GACGUAGGGCGCGAGCGUUGUCCGGAUUUAUUGGGCGUAAAGAGCUCGUAGGCGGCUUGUCGCGUCGACUGUGAAAUCCCGCGGCUCAACUGCGGGUCUGCAGCCGAUACGGGCAGGCUAGAGUUCGGUAGGGGAGACUGGAAUUCCUGGUGUAGCGGUGAAAUGCGCAGAUAUCAGGAGGAACACCGAUGGCGAAGGCAGGUCUCUGGGCCGAUACUGACGCUGAGGCGCGAAAGCGUGGGGAGCAAACAGG
rnacentral:rRNA from 1 species